UCGUGGAGUGAUUUGUCUGGUUAAUUCCGAUAACGAACGAGAUCGCAACCAAUUAAAUAGCAGUAUAAAUUGUCUAACCAGGUGAAGUUUAAAGAUUUCUUUAGAGUAGGGUUUUUUUAAAAUUUACUUUAAGGACUUUAAAUGAAUCCUUGAUAUAUUCGGAAUUGUUUCUUAAAGGGACUUUAGGUAUUUAACCAAAGGAAGUGCGGCAAUAACA
rnacentral:rRNA from 1 species